ACCAGAAUGAAGCAUGUUGAUACCGAUUGUCUCUUUGUUCGCGAUGAAGUUCAGGCCGGCACCAUGACUGUGCAGUAUGUACCCAUUGAAGAACAACCGGCUGAUAUUCUCACCAAGCCUCUCCCGAGCCGACAACACGAUUACCUCAGUUCCAAGCUUCCGUUUGCUUCCGCUCAGCUCAGCUUGAAGGGGGUAAUAACA
rnacentral:misc_RNA from 1 species